GACAAAUACUUACGAUGGUGGUGGUCGGAUGAGGAGUCUGGCCUAUCCCUAACCCAAUCCGUGGAAGAGUUGGCGGUGUGUCUGUGCCAGUGCGAGACUGACGCGCCUGCGCCCUGCUCGUUCCCACUCCGAUGGCUGUCCUCACGUGUUCUGCCUUUCCGGCGCCCCAAUUCCGUUCUUCACCGACCCAGAUGGCCCUGGUUGGUGGGGAACCGGUUGACCCGUCUCGGUCCCUCCAGAAUCCGCAUCUAACCCGUACUCUGGGUGGAAAUUUGUGUCCGUUUCUUACCGUUUUUCCUGCGUGGAUUGGCUUGUUUUCUUCUAGUACACCUGGGACCUGU
rnacentral:lncRNA from 1 species